AGAAAGGGGUUUUGAUAUUUUCCCCAAAGUAGACGCAAGUAUGCAGAAAAUUAAAAAGGGGCUUUUGAAACCCCAUCCCACCGCCACCCUUCUAGGAAAGAACUCUACUACUGAACUACACCCCCAGCCCUUGAGUUAUUUCUUCAGGCACAAUUCUGACUUACCAGUAAAGAUUUACACAGUGAUUCAACUGUGCAGCCAAACCACCCAAGGUGAUGCAUACCUAUAAUCUCAGAAGUCAACUAGAGGCCAGAUAUGGUGGCAUAUGCCUGUAGUCCCAGCACUCUGGAAAGCUGAAGCAG
rnacentral:lncRNA from 1 species